rnacentral:tRNA from 1 species
GUGGGUAUAGCUCAGGGGUAGAGCAUGUGCUUAGCAUGCACAAGGUCCUGGGUUCAAUCCCUAGCACCUCCA